AAACUUUCAACAACGGAUCUCUUGGUUCUGGCAUCGAUGAAGAACGCAGCGAAAUGCGAUAAGUAAUGUGAAUUGCAGAAUUCAGUGAAUCAUCGAAUCUUUGAACGCACAUUGCGCCCCUUGGUAUUCCGGGGGGCAUGCCUGUUCGAGCGUCAUUAUAACCAAUCUAGCCU
rnacentral:rRNA from 1 species